rnacentral:lncRNA from 1 species
CUUCCUCCUACACCCUGAAACACAAAGAAACACAGAGAAAAGACAGAGAGUUGGUCGGAUUCCCAAUCCAAGACCCAUGGUGGUGUGAAGGCCAUAAAGAGGCAGUUUUGGGAGAGAUCAAGGGGGAAAGUUAUGAACGUCUUUCUGGUGGCUUUUGAUCCGUGAUGUUAUCACCCAAUGCAUCCUCCAGGGCCUGAGAACACACGCAAAUGGUGAGGAGAGAAGGUAGAUGACCCGAAUUCAUUCCUAAAGGCCAAGACAGCCUUAAGGGCAGAUGUGUGUAGAAAGGCAGUUUCAUGGAAGUGCAAGGGGAGUUAUGAACGACCCUGUGGUAGGUUUUCACCACUGAUGAACACGUCCUAGGCUUCCUCUGCAUCUUGGGAACACACGCAAACACCCAGGAGAGAAGGGAGAAGGCAUGAAUAGCCUUGAAGGUGGAUGCAAU